rnacentral:lncRNA from 1 species
AGUCCCUGAGGAUGUCUGCACUUUUUUCCUUUCUGAUGUAUGGUUUGGAGGUGCUCUGUUGUAUGGUUUGGAGGUGCUCUGUUGUAUGGUUUGGAGGUGCUCUGUUGUAUGGUUUGGAGGUGCUCUUGUAUGGUUUGGAGGUGCUCUUGUAUGGUUUGGAGGUGCUCUAUUGUAUGGUUUGGAGGUGCUCUGUUGUAUGGUUUGGAGGUGGUCUUGUAUGGUUUGGAGGUGCUCUGUUGUAUGGUUUGGAGGUGCUCUUGUAUGGUUUGGAGGUG